UGCUCUGAUAGCGUAUAUUAAAAUUGUUGCAGUUAAAAAGCUCGUAGUUGGAUCUCAGGUUGAGUGUGUCGGUUUAGUCGUUGUACUAUAACUGUUCACGCUUGCCUUUAAAGCUGCAUGUCGGUUAGUGGUGAUCUUUAUUGAUUGCUGCAUAAUUGCUGAGCACGUUUACCGUGAAAAAAUCAGAGUGCUUAAAGCAGGCCUUUGUGCUUGAAUGGUGGUGCAUGGAAUAAUGAAAUAGGACUUCGGUUACUAUUUUGUUGGUUUACGGUGCUGAAGUAAUGAAAAAUAGAGACAGACGGGGUCAUUUGUAUGGUGGCGGGAGAGGUGAAAUUCUGAGAUCGUUGCCAGACAAACUAGUGCGAAAGCAUUUGACCAGCAUGUCUUCAUUAAUCAAGAA
rnacentral:rRNA from 1 species